rnacentral:lncRNA from 1 species
CAUCAGAUAGCGCCUUGUAUUUGUUAUGCUAACGUUAGUUGAGCGGCGCACAUACUACGGACGGACGCCUAUUUUUAUAUUUUUGUUCAUGUAUGAUAAAAUAGUAGCCGUACAACCGGGCAUAGUAAGUUAAUGUUUAUGUUAGUAAUAAACGUAAAGCACUGUGGAAACCCCAGUGUGGCGGUACAAACCAUAGACAUAUAUACGCCUCAUUGAGCGCUGGAUCGUACGUCAACGUCGCUGCCAUAUUGGAUGUGGCAGAUCAGCCUCACCCACAUAACUUUUGAAGAUCCACGACCUAUCCAGAAUGGGACAUUGUUUAACUGCCCAUUCUGUAAUGAAAGGCAAUUUAAGCCAGCAAGGAAGAGCAAGGUAGAGGACCAUUUAGAGGGCCAUCUUAAUAGGGCUGUUGUCCUGGAAGGCUUGACCAUUCACCGAUGUGGGCUGGGAUGCCAGGAGAAGCUUCACUAUCACUGCCCAUAUUGCCCGGGAGUGAUUUUCAAGCGCAAUGACUUUUUAACUCAUCUGCUGAAGCACAAAUCCUCAGUGUCAUCUUCCUGUUCACCUGCUCUCUGGCCCAGCCUCAGCACCGUCAGUUCCUCUGCUCUCUGGCCCAGCCUCAGCACCGUCAGUUGGUUGUUUACCUGGUCCCGCCAGUUUUCCCCCUGUGCUCUCUGGCCCAGCCUCAGCACCGUCAGUUGGUUGUUUACCUGGUCCCGCCAGUUUUCCCCCUGUGCUCUCUGGCGUAGCCUGAGCACCGUCAGUUCCUCUGCUCUCUGGCCCAGCCUCAGCACCGUCAGUUGGUCGUUUACCUGGUCCUGCCAGUUUUCCCCCUCUGCUCUCUGGCCCAGCCUCAGCACCGUCAGUUGGCCAUUCACCUGCUCCAGUCAGUUGCCCAAAAAAAAGAGUGUGGGUAAGAACUGUGAUCCAAAAAAGGUUCCCCUUUUUGCAAUAUUUUGAUUAACAAAUGUAACCUCAAAAGACACAUUGAAGGAAAACAUACAAAGGAAAAAAUUCGAGACAUAAAUGCAAGGUGCCACCUCACUGGUGAAGCGGUUGAUAAAGAGAACGGUAUUUAUGCCGUUUUAAAAGUGUUUCAGGGGCACAGCAUACCAUUACAUGUGCAGUUGAAGACCUGGGGCACAAAUCACCGCAUUUUAUG